rnacentral:rRNA from 1 species
UCGAGAAUCUUCGGCAAUGGGCGCAAGCCUGACCGAGCGACGCCGCGUGUGGGAUGAAGGCCCUUGGGUUGUAAACCACUGUCAGAGGGGAUGAAAUGCCAGAGAGCUAUCUCUCUGGUUUGACAUAGCCUCAGAGGAAGCACGGGCUAAGUUCGUGCCAGCAGCCGCGGUAAUACGAACUGUGCAAACGUUAUUCGGAAUCACUGGGCUUAAAGGGUGCGUAGGCGGCUUGUUAAGUAGGGUGUGAAAUCCCCCGGCUCAACCGGGGAAUUGCGCCCUAAACUGGCGAGCUGGAGUGAGAUAGGGGUGUGUGGAACUUCCAGUGGAGCGGUGAAAUGUGUUGAUAUUGGAAGGAACGCCAGUGGCGAAAGCGACACACUGGGUCUCAACUGACGCUGAGGCACGAAAGCCAGGGGAGCAAACG